AACGAACGCUGGCGGCGUGGAUAAGACAUGCAAGUCGAACGCUGAUUUCAGGGUAGCAAUAUUCUGAAGUCGGAGUGGCGCAAGGGUGCGUAACACGUGGGUAAUUUGCCGUGAAGUUGGGGAUAACUUGCUGAAAGGCGAGCUAAUACCGAAUGUGAUCGCUGAGGGACAUCCCUUUGCGAUCAAAGUUGGGGACCGCAAGGCCUGACGCUUCAUGAGGAGCCCGCGACCUAUCAGCUAGUUGGUGAGGUAAUGGCUCACCAAGGCUAAGACGGGUAGCUGGUCUGAGAGGACGACCAGCCACACUGGAACUGAGACACGGUCCAGACACCUACGGGUGGCAGCAGUCGAGAAUUUUUCACAAUGGGCGAAAGCCUGAUGGAGCGACGCCGCGUGGGGGAUGAAUGGCUUCGGCCCGUAAACCCCUGUCAUUUGCGAACAAACCUUGCUAUUUAAAAGAUGGCGAGCUGAUUGUAGCGAAAGAGGAAGGGACGGCUAACUCUGUGC
rnacentral:rRNA from 1 species